rnacentral:rRNA from 1 species
AUUGAACGCUGGCGGCAUGCCUUACACAUGCAAGUCGAACGGCAGCACGGGUGCUUGCACCUGGUGGCGAGUGGCGAACGGGUGAGUAAUACAUCGGAACAUGUCCUGUAGUGGGGGAUAGCCCGGCGAAAGCCGGAUUAAUACCGCAUACGAACUACGGAUGAAAGCGGGGGACGUUCGGGCCUCGCGCUAUAGGGUUGGCCGAUGGCGGAUUAGCUAGUUGGUGGGGUAAAGGCCCACCAAGGCGACGAUCAGUAGAUGGUCUGAGAGGACGACCAGCCACACUGGAACUGAGACACGGCCCAGACUCCUACGGGAGGCAGCAGUGGGGAAUUUUGGACAAUGGGCGAAAGCCUGAUCCAGCAAUGCCGCGUGUGUGAAGAAGGCCUUCGGGUUGUAAAGCACUUUUGUCCGGAAAGAAAUGCUUGGCUCUAAUACAGUCGGGGGAUGACGGUACCGGAAGAAUAAGCACCGGCUAACUACGUG